rnacentral:rRNA from 2 species
AUAACAGGUCUGAGAUGCCCUUAGAUGUUCUGGGCCGCACGCGUGCUACACUGAGUGGAUCAGCGGGUUAGGUAACGCGAAAGUGUGUCCUAAUCUUCAAAUCCGCUCGUGAUGGGGAUUGACGGUUGCAAUUUUCCGUCAUGAACGAGGAAUACCUUGUAAGCGCGUUUCAUCAUAACGCGCUGAAUACGUCCCUGCCCUUUGUACACACCGCCCGUCGCUCCUACCGAUUGAGUGGUCCGGUGAGGCUUUGGGACCUGAGCGGAAAAAGCGUUUCGCUUGUUCUGCUUGGGAAACUCAGUCGAACCUUAUCAUUUAGAGGAA